rnacentral:rRNA from 1 species
GAAGUGCUUGCACUUCGCUGACGAGUGGCGGACGGGUGAGUAAUGCUUGGGAACUUGCCUUUGCGAGGGGGAUAACAGUUGGAAACGACUGCUAAUACCGCAUAAUGUCUACGGACCAAACGGGGCUUAGGCUCCGGCGCAAAGAGAGGCCCAAGUGAGAUUAGCUAGUUGGUAAGGUAAAGGCUUACCAAGGCAACGAUCUCUAGCUGUUCUGAGAGGAAGAUCAGCCACACUGGGACUGAGACACGGCCCAGACUCCUACGGGAGGCAGCAGUGGGGAAUAUUGCACAAUGGGGGAAACCCUGAUGCAGCCAUGCCGCGUGUGUGAAGAAGGCCUUCGGGUUGUAAAGCACUUUCAGUUGUGAGGAAAAGUUAGUAGUUAAUACCUGCUAGCCGUGACGUUAACAACAGAAGAAGCACCGGCUAACUCCGUGCCAGCAGCCGCGGUAAUACGGAGGGUGCGAGCGUUAAUCGGAAUUACUGGGCGUAAAGCGCACGCAGGCGGUUUGUUAAGCUAGAUGUGAAAGCCCCGGGCUCAACCUGGGAUGGUCAUUUAGAACUGGCAGACUAGAGUCUUGGAGAGGGGAGUGGAAUUCCAGGUGUAGCGGUGAAAUGCGUAGAUAUCUGGAGGAACAUCAGUGGCGAAGGCGACUCCCUGGCCAAAGACUGACGCUCAUGUGCGAAAGUGUGGGUAGCGAACAGGAUUAGAUACCCUGGUAGUCCACACCGUAAACGCUGUCUACUAGCUGUUUGUGACUUUAA